rnacentral:rRNA from 1 species
AACAGGGAUUGCCCUAGUAACGGCGAGUGAAGCGGCAACAGCUCAAAUUUGAAAUCUGGCCUUUCAGGUCCGAGUUGUAAUUUGUAGAGGAUGCUUCGGCGUUGGACCCGACCUAAGUUCCUUGGAACAGGACGUCACAGAGGGUGAGAAUCCCGUACGUGGCCGGUGUCCCUCGCCAUGUGAAGCUCCUUCGACGAGUCGAGUUGUUUGGGAAUGCAGCUCUAAAUGGGAGGUAAAUUUCUUCUAAAGCUAAAUACUGGCCAGAGACCGAUAGCGCACAAGUAGAGUGAUCGAAAGAUGAAAAGCACUUUGGAAAGAGAGUUAAAAAGUACGUGAAAUUGUUGAAAGGGAAGCGCUUGCAACCAGACCUGCCCGCGGUCGCUCAUCCAGGCUUCUGCCUGGUGCACUCUUCCGCGGUCAGGCCAGCAUCGGUUCGGGCGGUCGGACAAAGGCGGCGGGAAUGUGGCUCCCCUCGGGGAGUGUUAUAGCCCGCCGUGUAAUGCGGCCAGUCCGGACUGAGGUCCGCGCUUCGGCUAGGAUGCUGGCGUAAUGGUUGUAAGCGGCCCGUCUUGAAACACGGACCAAGGAGUCUAACAUCUGUGCGAGUGUUUGGGUGUCAAGCCCGGACGCGUAAUGAAAGUGAACGGAGGCGGGAACCUUUGGGUGCACCGUCGACCGAUCCUGAUGUCUUCGGAUGGAUUUGAGUAAGAGCAUAGCUGUUGGGACCCGAAAGAUGGUGAACUAUGCCUGAAUAGGGUGAAGCCAGAGGAAACUCUGGUGGAGGCUCGCAGCGGUUCUGACGUGCAAAUCGAUCGUCAAAUUUGGGCAUAGGGGCGAAAGACUAAUCGAACUU